AUUGACUCACACGAACAUACACUGAAAGAAAAACGACGGACACAUUUAGAUUAAAAAAUAAAAGUUUUACUCAAAAAUAUCAGAAUAGUAUUUAAAACCUCCAGGAUCUCAUCUAGAACGAAAUUUUACAGAGAGACUGCCGUAUUUUUGCAUACCUUAGCCUAAUGUCAGCAUUUUUGUUUUGUCUUUGUUUCGUUUCACGUCUCCUCAACAGAUGGCACUAUAUAUGAUUAUGUAGAUUAUGUUUAACCUUAUUCCAUUUAUUUCCCUAAUUGUGUACAUCUCCACAGUAAAGUCAUUUUAAAACAAACAAUUGAAAAUCUCGCUACACCAGCAUCGCGUUGGGCUUAGAGUUGAAAAGAAAUAUUCCAGGGUUGAGCGGCAAGGGUCGGAUUCUCCCGGUAUGGUGAGAUGCGUGUAGAGUCCCCAUCCAAAUCGUCGUUGAGUUUUUUUUUAUUACAAAAGUGAAAUGAAUGCUCUCGAGGUGUUUACUUGUCUUCGGUGGAGCCCUCCUGCAAAUUAGAGAGGAAGAAUCUUCGAGUGAAAUACAUGUUGUUGGGUUUAGGCGGCAGCUUCCUCUUCCUGGAAAUGGAACAGAUUAGGACCGGUUUCGAAGUACAACACAAAACACCCAAACAGAGUUUAGUUCACAGAAUGACUUUUUACUCUUUUCUUCUUAAGAAUGCAUUUUAAAAUACACGAUUAUUUUGAAGUAAACCGUUUUAAAUACAUAAAAUUAAGUGGUUGGGUUCGACGACAGAGGGUUAAUAACAACUACACAUAGGCAACACAAAGUUGUGCUCUUCGCGGUUGGAUCUUCCGGCCUCUAGUAGUGCCACCUGCCGGACGGCUGCAGGAAGUACAGGAAAGGAUUUGGGAAGUUGAUUAGGUAUUAAAACAAGACGUGGGGUGGUUCGGGAUGGGGUUCCUUCUUUUCUUUUCGAUAUCUUCCGUCAACUGGCGCUCCGGUACGGUUGACAAUUAUACAUAUUUUGCCUUCUUUUUUUAUUAAAUUUUUUUAGAUUAAAAAA